CGAGGCCCUGCAGUGUCACAAGGGCCCCUUGGUUCUGUGGAGCCCACAAGGUCAGUUUUGCCAGGGGGCAGGAUCAGCACCAAAGACACAGACACCAACUGAAGGAACUGUCUAAUUUUUAUAAGGUGUGGCCAUUGGACCAAGAAGACAAUGGUUCUCACCUAUUGCUGAGAACACAGACUGGCUGUACCUUCUUUUCCCCUCAGCGAUUUCAAUGGACUUCUUCUUUAUUGGAUCUGUUCCCCUUCAGUGAUUUCAAGACCUGUUGCCUCCUUAGGAAUGGACUAUACUAGAACCUUGAGGUAACCAGGUGUUUUGAGAUUCUUCCUCACCUGAGAAAAGGGAUGUAUUAGCCGGACCAUGAGGAUUUUGUCUCUCUGUUGGUAGCAAUAUUCUGCCUUCUCUCUCUCUCUCUCUCUCUCUCUCUCUCUCUCUCUCUCUCUAUCCUUUAUCUCUUUUCUAAUCCUUCUAUGGCAUUUGCUGCGGGCACUCAAUAAAAGGUGCAUUUGUGUUGAUGAAUGCUGAAAUCCCCUCAA